UACAGAGGUCUCAAGCGUUGUUCGGAUUCAUUGGGCGUAAAGGGCGCGUAGGCGGCAUGACAAGUCACUUGUGAAAUCUCUGGGCUUAACUCAGAACGGCCAAGUGAUACUGUCGCGCUAGAGUGCGGAAGGGGCAAUCGGAAUUCUUGGUGUAGCGGUGAAAUGCGUAGAUAUCAAGAGGAACACCUGAGGUGAAGACGGGUUGCUGGGCCGACACUGACGCUGAUGCGCGAAAGCCAGGGGAGCAAACGGG
rnacentral:rRNA from 1 species